UAAGUCCUUUUGACAUAGUAGAAGGAGAAUGAGGGCUUUCAGCUGCACAGGACAAAAGAUAAAGGUUAGGAGAAUGGGCAAAACAGAACAGAUUCAAGAAAAUAGUUUUGAAAUGUCAGAAUCUCACCAGAAACUUCAGGUUGGACAGCAAUGUCCUGAGCAGGAGCGGUUUCUUUUCUUUUUCUUUUAGCAGAAGGAGUGGCCUCAACAGUUGGAUGCUCUGCC
rnacentral:lncRNA from 1 species